UCUCCCCCAAAAGGCAUUGCAGGUGUGGCUGCUGUGUUACAUGUGCUUCUGUAGGUGGCAGAGAGGAGAGAGGUUAUGUCUGUGCUCAGUGUUCUGACCAAUGGGCAUCUGAAUGAUUCAUAGACUAACAUU
ensembl:snoRNA small nucleolar RNA SNORA17